CAGUAGCCGCGGUAAUACGAGGGGGGCAAGCGUUGUUCGGAAUUAUUGGGCGUAAAGGGUGCGUAGGCGGUUUGACAAGUCUUGUGUGAAAUCUCUGGGCUCAACCCAGAGUCUGCACGGGAAACUGUCGGGCUAGAGGAUGGGAGAGGUGCGUGGAAUUUCCGGUGUAGCGGUGAAAUGCGUAGAUAUCGGAAGGAACACCUGUGGCGAAAGCGGCUCACUGGACCAUUUCUGACGCUGAUGCACGAAAGCUAGGGGAGCAAACAGGAUUAGAUACCCCUGUAGUCCCUGUCUCUUAUAC
rnacentral:rRNA from 1 species